CCCUAUACUGAUUGAGUACCCUGCUGAUGCAAUACCCUAUACUGAUUCAGUACCCUGCUGAUGCAAUACCCU